rnacentral:rRNA from 1 species
GACGAACGCUGGCGGCGUGCUUAACACAUGCAAGUCGAACGGAAAGGCCCUGCUUUUGUGGUGUGUUCGAGUGGCGAACGUGUGAAUAACAUGUGAGUCACCUGCCCUUUACUUUGGGAUAUCUUGAGGAAACCGGGGCUACUACCUGAUAGUAGCUCCUGCUGCAUGGGGGGGUUCGGAAAGUUUCGGCGGUUGGGGAUGUAGUCGCGGGUUAUCAGCAUGCUGGUGGGGUAGUGGCUUACCAAGGCGUCGACGGGUGGCCGGCCUGAGAGGGUGGACGGAGACACGGCGACGAAGACAAGGCGCAGCAGCAUAGGGGAGGCAGCAGUGGGGAAUGUUGCACAGAGGGAGGGAGGCUGAGGGGGCGACGCCGGGUGUGGGAUGACGGCCUCCUGGUGGUAAAGCGCAUUCGCCUGGGACGGAGCGGGAGUGACGGUAAUGGGAGAAGAAGCACCGGCUAACUACGUG